UCGUGGGGGAUCCACCCGUUCUCAUUCCGAACACGGAAGUUAAGCCCCAUUGAGCCGAUGGUACUGUGCGGGACACUGCAUGGGAGAGCAGGUAGCUGCCGUUU
rnacentral:rRNA from 1 species